GAUGAACGCUGGCGGCGUGCCUAAUACAUGCAAGUCGAGCGAACGGACGAGAAGCUUGCUUCUCUGAUGUUAGCGGCGGACGGGUGAGUAACACGUGGAUAACCUACCUAUAAGACUGGGAUAACUUCGGGAAACCGGAGCUAAUACCGGAUAAUAUUUUGAACCGCAUGGUUCAAAAGUAAAAGACGGUCUUGCUGUCACUUAUAGAUGGAUCCGCGCUGCAUUAGCUAGUUGGUAAGGUAACGGCUUACCAAGGCAACGAUGCAUAGCCGACCUGAGAGGGUGAUCGGCCACACUGGAACUGAGACACGGUCCAGACUCCUACGGGGGGCAGCAGUAGGGAAUCUUCCGCAAUGGGCGAAAGCCUGACGGAGCAACGCCGCGUGAGUGAUGAAGGUCUUCGGAUCGUAAAACUCUGUUAUUAGGGAAGAACAUAUGUGUAAGUAACUGUGCACAUCUUGACGGUACCUAAUCAGAAAGCCACGGCUAACUACGUG
rnacentral:rRNA from 1 species